rnacentral:rRNA from 1 species
UGAUGGAGGGGGAUAACUACUGGAAACGGUAGCUAAUACCGCAUAAUGUCGCAAGACCAAAGUGGGGGACCUUCGGGCCUCAUGCCAUCAGAUGUGCCCAGAUGGGAUUAGCUAGUAGGUGGGGUAACGGCUCACCUAGGCGACGAUCCCUAGCUGGUCUGAGAGGAUGACCAGCCACACUGGAACUGAGACACGGUCCAGACUCCUACGGGAGGCAGCAGUGGGGAAUAUUGCACAAUGGGCGCAAGCCUGAUGCAGCCAUGCCGCGUGUGUGAAGAAGGCCUUCGGGUUGUAAAGCACUUUCAGCGGGGAGGAAGGCGAUAAGGUUAAUAACCUUGUCGAUUGACGUUACCCGCAGAAGAAGCACCGGCUAACUCCGUGCCAGCAGCCGCGGUAAUACGGAGGGUGCAAGCGUUAAUCGGAAUUACUGGGCGUAAAGCGCACGCAGGCGGUCUGUCAAGUCGGAUGUGAAAUCCCCGGGCU